rnacentral:rRNA from 1 species
GAUGAACGCUAGCUACAGGCUUAACACAUGCAAGUCGAGGGGAAACGAUGAGAGAGCUUGCUCUCUUAGUCGUCGACCGGCGCACGGGUGAGUAACGCGUAUCCAACCUGCCUCUGACCAAGGGAUAACCCGUCGAAAGUCGGACUAAUACCUUAUGCAGUCGUCGGAAGUCAUCUGAUGACGACGAAAGAUUUCAUCGGUGAGAGAUGGGGAUGCGUCUGACUAGCUUGUUGGCGGGGUAACGGCCCACCAAGGCGACGAUCAGUAGGGGUUCUGAGAGGAAGGUCCCCCACAUUGGAACUGAGACACGGUCCAAACUCCUACGGGAGGCAGCAGUGAGGAAUAUUGGUCAAUGGGCGUAAGCCUGAACCAGCCAAGUAGCGUGCAGGAUGACGGCCCUAGGGGUUGUAAACUGCUUUUAGGCGGGGAUAAAGUGAGGGACGUGUCCUUCAUUGCAGGUACCGCAUGAAUAAGGACCGGCUAAUUCCGUG